rfam:Myotis lucifugus cont2.29028, whole genome shotgun sequence.
CAUGCACCAGUGGGGUCCCUCAGCCUGGCCUGCAGGAUCAGGCCAAAACCAGCUGUCUGACAUCCCCCAAGAGGUCCCGUAUUGAGAGAGCAGGCCAGGCUGAGGGACCCCACCAGUGCACA